rnacentral:rRNA from 1 species
CGCGGCCUAUCAGCUUGUUGGCGGGGUAACGGCCCACCAAGGCAACGACGGGUAGCUGGUUUGAGAGAACGAUCAGCCACACUGGAACUGAGACACGGUCCAGACUUCUACGGAAGGCAGCAGUAGGGAAUCUUGCGCAAUGGGUGAAAGCCUGACGCAGCGACGCCGCGUGCGGGAUGACGGCCCUAGUGGUUGUAAACCGCUUUCAGCAGGGACGAAAAUGACGGUACCUGCAGAAGAAGUCCCGGCUAACUACGUGCCAGCAGCCGCGGUAAUACGUAGGGGACAAGCGUUGUCCGGAUUCAUUGGGCGUAAAGAGCUCGUAGGCGGUUCAGUAAGUUGGGUGUGAAAGCUCCGGGCUCAACCCGGAGAGGCCACUCGAUACUGCUGUGACUAGAGUCCAGUAGAGGAGCGUGGAACUCCUGGUGUAGCGGUGAAAUGCGCAGAUAUCAGGAAGAACACCGGCAGCGAAGGCGGCGCUCUGGGCUGGUACUGACGCUGAGGAGCGAAAGCAUGGGUAGCAAACAGGAUUAGAUACCCUGGUAGUCCAUGCCGUAAACGUUGGGCACUAGGUGUGGGAGGGAAUCAACCCCUUCCGUGCCGUAGCUAACGCAUUAAGUGCCCCGCCUGGGGAGUACGG